AAUCAGACGAGAAUGCAUUGGGCCACGCCCAUUUUCCUAUGUUCAGCUUAGUUCUUUUUUUCUUUCAGCGCUCUUUUGGGUCUGCUUAGUGCUGCCAAAAUUGAUGAAAUUUUAAGCGAACACUCACGAAAAGUAGCAUUUAUAGAGAAAGCGCUGCUGGUGGUGUUGGUGGCCACACUUUGUUCUUUAUUUGCCUUCGCCUCUCGCUCGAUUUUCUUCGGCCUUCGAUUGGAAUGGGUCGUCAAAAGUCAAACGUCAAAAGACUUUGCGCGUUUGUUUUUUUUAUGGCGCUUGCUAAUUUACAUGUUUCGGGAUUAUUUUUCAAGUGAGUGACUAACUAAUGUUCAAAAGAACAUGUUGCCGGUAGUUGGAAGCAAUUUUAUAUCUUAAGCGCUUUGAAAUCGUUAGCGCAAGUGAAAGGAUAUUGAUGGCGACUUUCGUUAAGCAGUUAACCUCUCAUCUUGCGUGUGGAUGUGUGUGCCACCAAAAUGAUGAGAAAUGGUCUCGCAAAAUAGAAAUUAUGAUCAAAAGUGCAUUAAAUUUGAUCUUUUUGGCCAGUAAGUGGCAUAAAUUUCGUGCUUACUUGAGGCGGUGCUGUUGCUGGUAAGUUUAUAGCGUAACAAGUAUUUUUGGAGCUUUAAUCGAGCAUCAAACUCUCAAUAUAACGAAGAUAGGUGUUUGAUUAGAAAGGGUAUAUUUCCCCUAUGGAGCUUAUUAUUCAUUGAGCAUCAAAUGUUGAAGAAAUCCUGACGGCAAAGUUCAUUGAGUCACUGCAAAAUUUAUCAUUCAACAUUGCAUACAAUUCAAGCAUUCCCGUGAUAUUAAAUUUCUCCUAGGCAAAAAAGAAUCAAAACAAAACAAUGAAUUGAUAUUGCAGUAGUGGUUCAAUCGACAAUUUUGAUGAUCAUUCAGCAAGAGUCUGAUAUUUCCAGAGCCGUGGGAAUUCAGCAAACUAAUACAACUCGACAGAUUAUCUUGUGCAGUUAGUACGAUAGUUUUCAUAGGAUAAGCCGAUUUUCGUAGAAGUUAUGCGUUUUUAGGCAAAUAUGAAUUCGAAUGGAGUUUCUUUGGAUUCAUUAGAAUUCUUGUACCGCUGCUCGUGUACCUUAUGUGUUUCGUGACUAUUUUCAAAGCUUGUUUAAAAUUGUGCAAACGACGCAGAAAUGAGAGGCCAGCCUUACAACGCGUUGCUUCGGUUUCAUCGUACAUCAACCUUGCACAACCAAUACCGGCAAGACCAACCCAUGUGGCUAUUCCAAUCGAUUUAACAUUGGAUGACGAAGGAGUUAGGCAGCAGCAGCAGCCUGCUGCGACCGAUUUAAUUUCACAGAAUCCACCGAGCUACGAGGAGGUGACUAGCGAAAGUUACAACCAGAAAUUACCUGCUUAUUCUGAAUUGAGUCGGUAGCAAAUUAAGUGAGAUUGCCUGAACCUUUUACUGAAACAGUGUAAAAGGAGACUCAAGUCUUUAAUCUCAAUGGUUCACAUCACAAAUCACGUGGACAUUUUAAUUUAUCUAUAAUAUCUAAUUUAGUUAUAAUCUUGAUCGAACGAGCCACUCGAAAAAAAAAAAUACAAAUAAUUUAGUCAGAGUUAAAUAUUGAGAAUUGCAUUAAGAUGAUAAAAUGUAUGUUACCAAUUAUAGAAUUAUAUAAAGCCUAAUGACAAAUUAAUUUUUAAGAAAUUCCUACUGCGAAGUUCAUUGAGUCGCUGCAAAACUUAGCAUUCAACAUUGCAUACAAUUCAACCAUUCACAUAUUCUCAUUCACAUCCCGUGAUAGUAAAAUCUUGCCACCGCGAAAACUAAUCAAAACAAAACGGCGAAUUCCGUUUACAGUGGUGGUGAAAUUGACCUCGAAACAAGUUUGACGAUCAUUCAGCAAGACGCUGGUGUUUCCCCGAGUCGUAGGAAUUCAGCAAGCCGGCAUCUGAUUGAGUAUUUCAUGCGAUAUUAGUCAUCACUUGUCAGUUUGUCUCGCUUCAUUAGGCAAACAUGAAUUUGAUUGGAGUUUUUUACGGAUUCUUCCGAAUUGUUAUACCGGUGCUCGUGUACCUUAUGUGUUUCGUGGUUGUCUUCAAAAUUUGCUCAAAACUGUGCAAACGACGCAGAACUGAGAGGCCAGUCUUGCUACGCGUUUCUUCGGUUCCAUCAAAUGUCAAUCUUGCACGACAAAUACCGCCAAGGCCAGUCCAUGUGACCAUUCCGAGCGCUCCCCCGUUGGAGGUAGUCUCUUCAAGUGACGAAGGAGUUAGGCAGCAGCAGCAGCCUACUGAGACCGAUUUAGAAUCACAGAAUCCACCAAGCUACGAGGAGGUGACUAGCGAAAGUUACAACCAGCAACUACCUGCUUAUCCUGGAUUUAGCCGGUAGCGUGUUGUCUGAUUUUGAUGAUUUUGAUGCGGCUGUCCGAUUCCAUGAGAGAGUAUUUUGGAUAAUUAUCGGAAUAGUCAUAUUGUGCGUCUUUCUAUGCUUUAUAAUUUGCAUAAUUUUUGUCCGACGUUAUAGACGCAACACUAAUCCGGGUACAAUUUACACCUCUCCAGUGGUCAUCACGUCACAGCAGCACUAUCCCGCAACUGGUUCUCCGAAUGUGGUGGUCAAUCCGAUCGUUUAUGCACCGCCAAACAUCGGCUACCAGCCAAUGCAGAUGCAGCAGCAGCAGCAGCCACUACUACAGCAAUAUCUACCGGCAACCGCCCCGCAAAUGGAGUUUGGCCAAACCACGCAGGGUCCUCCCAGCUACCAGCAGGCCACCUACUUUCAACACCAGGAGGCGUAUAAUCCAGAAUUUAGAAAACAAUAGAUAAGUGGGAAAACUGCCGUAAAUGCACACAAUAUUCGUCCAACGGGCGCCUUCGAAUCUCAGGGAUUUUGUAAAGAAAAUGUAUGUUUAAAGUUUGGUUCAGAUUUUAUUUUAUUUUUUGUUUUUUUUUUUGAGAGUUCAAAAUUUUUCUUAAGUAAUUUUAAACGACAAAAUUUUAAUUGUUAUAUAUGAAUGAAAAAAAAACAGCGGCUUAUCCUUAUUUUUUUUAAAUAAGACCCUCGUUAUGAAACUACGUUAGUGGAGAUUCAAAAUUGAAACAUAAUAAGUUUAUUCAGUUGACAAAUCAAAUAAAUUUGCAAAUGCUUAAACAGUUGUUGUUCAAAAACCACCAAGUGGAAACCAAGUGCUGUUCGUUUUUUGUCAGACAAAUACUCAAAGUGCAUUUAAAAUUAUAUAUUCAUAUUAAAGGGAUUUACAUAAAUUUACAUGAUGGGAAUAAAAAAAAUCUAUUUCCAAUUUAUUACACUUAAGGCUUAUUGUCAAGAAAAAUUCAUGAAAUUCAACUAAAAAUUUUCUUAAAAUGACAUUGGUGGACCUAAGGUUUAAAGAAACAAACAAAAAACAUUAGCCAGGGCCAAUAUUUUUUGUUAUAGAUCAUUUAAGCUGUUGUUGAAAAUAAAUUUAAAAUAUAAU